rnacentral:lncRNA from 1 species
GUUAUAUAAAUCGGUUGUCUGUGAAGUCGGUUUACUAACAACAGUUGAACGUGACAACGUCAUGCACGCGAUGACCGAUUGUGCCUUUUUGUGCUCUCGAUUGCACUUCAAGCGUUAAAUGGAACGCCUCAGAGCGAGGUAACGCAUCAGAGCCAGGUAACGUCGCAUGGCGAGGUAACGCCUCAUAACAAGGUAACGCCGCACGACUAAUGUUUUUUCGUGCGUGCAGGCUCCAUAGAAUUAUAAGACGUUGUCACGUCCAAAAAACAAUUCGUUGUAUUACCGAUAUUAAUUUUAUCAAUUUAAAAG